CACGCCGCAUCGAAAAUUUAGUUUAUUGAAAUUAGCGAUUCCUAUUAACAAUACGAAGUAAAUGCUUAACGUAGGCUAAUUUCCGCAAUUCUUGAAUAAGUCCAAACCAUCUUUAAAAAGAUUAUUGCCAAGCUUACUUAUAAGGAAAAUGACAGCAAAGAUUUUUUAACCAAAUUAAUCAAAGAAAACUAUAUAUUGAAAAUGGUUGAAUUGUAUAACCUUAACAAGUACAAGAGAGACCUCUUGUACCUUGCCAACGUGCAUUUACAAAGCGUCAGUAUAUCCCUCGCUUACUGCACUUAAAUUUGCUAAAAUCUUUAUCUUACGAAUUACAUAAUUACGAUUUUUCAAAUUACUGAUAAUACCAUAGUCACUUUACAUAUAUUAGCACCCAAAUCUUGAGUCAAAAAUCCGACAUGAAAUAUUUUGUUGCUUAUUUAAUCUUGUUCGUCAAACUUUUCGACAAGGUCAGGAAUUUCUCCAUCGUCGGCUUGUGCAUCAGCUCCCUUUUCACCUUCACUGACCUUUAAUUGCUCAGCCAUUUGACGAAGGGCAGUCAAGGAUUCAGGACCAAGGUUGUUCAAAAUGCCAGGCAAAAUCUCAGACAAAGUCUUUUCCUCUGCUUUACCAUAGAUAGCUGUAGUUUCAUUAGGAAGCGAGGAAUGAACGGUAGGUGCACGGAAAUUAAUGACUCCGCCAUCUUCCUUGAACAUGUUAACCUCUUGGAUGCCAGCAAGGUUUUGCAUAUUCAACUUUUUCAAGGCACCUUGAACCUUCUUGUCAUCAGCAGCACUCAUGGCAGACUUAGAAGGCUUCUUCACCUUACGACGAGGGGUACCCUUUCCACCUAUACAAUGAUAAGUUAAUUAAGCAGUUCUCUAUGAAAAAAGUACAACUGUGUUUUCAAUAGCCAGCAUCAAUUACAGUGGAACCACUUUGAAACCGUUCAAGGCAUUUCUUAGAGCUGGUGUCAACUUCAAAACACGGGGAUGCAUUCGAACAUACCAAUACGAGCGCCAGCCUGCAACUUAGCCAAUUUGGAGGGAUCCAUUUGUUUCUAUUUGACCAAACGUUUUUGGUUGUGGAAGGACUUGAACUUGACGUUUCUAAAGUUGUGGUACCGAAAUGUGUGACUGCUCCCAUACUUACAAUAAAGUAAAGAUACACACUGUGUUGCGAUAUAUGAAUAGUAAUAUCAACACAAAUUCGCGUUAUUCAAUUUAGAAUAAAUGGUGUUUGCUCUAAUACAAUAAACACAAAUCCAAAUAAAAAUAGUGAAGUCGUUUAACAAAACUUUAAAAGACUGUGUGAAUCAAAAAAG